CACAUAAGCACUCAUAAUCGAGUCAAAAGCAAACGCCGGUUAACUUAAAAUCAAAUUAUGGGUCAAUGCCAAAGUUCUGAUCUCCACUUUAAGAAACUUUGAAGGAAUUAGAUGAUCACUGUCAAAAAGUGAAAGUCUGUCUAUAAUGUGAAAAAUGGGAAAACAUCACAGGGAAGAUUAUGUGAAUAUGAAGACAACAGCUUCUAAAAUCCAUGGAUAUUAAAGAUGAGAGAGAGUGUGUGUGUAUAUAUAUAUGUGUGUGUGUGCGUGUGUGUGUGUGUAUAAGCUGGAAGGCACCAGCUGCAGUGGUCUGGUAGGUUGGGCUCUGACCCAUUUUCAGCAGACAGGAAGCACACGCAGGUUAACCAGCUCAACCACAAACAUAUUCACAUCCACACAUUUGUGGGACUUACCAUUCAUUUCUAAUGUUCUUAAGGAAAUAUAAGAAAGAAACUUUUUACAUUUAUACACAGUACUGGCCAAAAGUGAUGUCCGGCCUAGGAAAAUCAUCUUCACUCUUUAUUCAAAUAUUAUUAAAAAUGUGAUUUUGUAAGCAUAUUGCAUAGUUGUGCUCUGAGUCAAUUGUUUUAAACAUUUAUAUUAUAUAUUAUAUACAAAAUCUUUUGAAUGCUCAAUGCCAUGACUGACCAAUCAGAGUGCAGUAAUCCAGAGAGAAGUGUAACAAAUAUAAUCAUCAACAAUCAAACUGCAUUAGACAGUGAUGUCACAGACAUUUACAUACACCCAUUAUCACAUCCAGAAUAAACUGUUCAUAAACAUAGAUCCAUGUAUAAUGUACGAAUGACCUCUUAGUAUGCAGAGAAUGGGUUUGUUUCUGUGAAGUAACUCAAUUGUGUAACUCAAUCUAUUGAAGUAUCAAUCAUUGAAAGUGCAUGACUCACUAUGUUGAAGCAGAAAGAGCCAGAGGCGCUGUAACUGUGCCGGUGGUGCGGCAGGGAACCAUGGCUAAUCCCACUGAAGUGUCUCCGGAUCUCUGCCGAAGAGUGCCUGGGACAAGAGAGAGAGACAAGGAUGAAGAGGGUAGAGAGGAAACAGAAAAGAGAGCUGCAACACUGGAUUAUUCUCCAACGGGGGGGAAUUGUGCAGACACCAGAUGGACCACAAUGACAAACCCGCUGUAAAACACAAUUACAGCCAUGACAGCGUCAGCCACAUUCCAAAGAGAGCGGACUAUGAUUGUUUGUCUUAGUUGUCUCAGCCAAGUAUGAUUGUGGGUCAGGGAGCCUCAUAACAGUAUUGUGCAAGAGCACUGCUUUAGUGUGGAACUUCCCUUGAAGGUCAACAUCAGCUGAAGAUAGCUGAAAUUAAAGAACUAUUCUCGUGAUAUGGCAAGCGUUUCCUUCAACUACAGCCUUUCUGCUGACUGAGGGCUUUCGUUUAUUGUCUGCCACGUCUCAUUACAUUCUGUUUUCAUCACAUUGUCUGUCCUUAAACAUUUAAUGUCACUUCUCAUAGUGAAAUGCGCCUAGAAAAAUCAAAGGAUUAUGAAAAGGACGACGGAAUAAAACCCCCAGGGCACCCUUCUUCAUAACAAAACACAGCUGUGCUCAGAGGACUUUUCAUGUGUGAAUGCAUCAUUCAUGCAAAUAAAUGUGUGGUCACUGAAAAUGAGAAGGGACAUGGAGGGUGUUGCAUGAG